rnacentral:rRNA from 1 species
GACGAACGCUGGCGGCGUGCUUAACACAUGCAAGUCGAACGGAAAGGCCUGCUUUCCCUUGUGGAUUGCGGGUACUCGAGUGGCGAACGGGUGAGUAACACGUGAGUGAUCUGCCCCCAACUUGGGUAUAAGCCUGGGAAACUGGGUCUAAUUCCCGAUAGGACUGCAGGGUGGUGCCUGUGGUGGAAAACGAUUUUCUAGUGGUCGGGGAUGAGCUCGCGGCCUAUCAGCUUGUUGGUGGGGUAAUGGCCUACCAAGGCGGCGACGGGUAGCCGGCCUGGGAGGGUGGACGGCCACAUUGGGACUGAGAUACGGCCCAGACUCCUACGGGAGGCAGCAGUGGGGAAUAUUGCACAAUGGGCGGAAGCCUGAUGCAGCGACGCCGCGUGGGGGAUGACGGCCUUCGGGUUGUAAACUCCUUUCGACCGCGAGGAAGCCACCUGGUUGGAAGGGUGGUGACGGUAGUGGUAGAAGAAGCACCGGCUAACUACGUG